GUCUCUUUGACUUUAUUUUAUAAAGAGUUGGGCCUGCUCAGUGAUAUUUUUAACAGCUGCGGUGUUAUAACUGUACUAAGGUAGCAUAAUAAUUUGCCUUAUAAAUUAGGGCUAGAAUGAAUGGUUUGACGAGAGUUAUACUGUCUCUAUUUUAAUUGUUAGAAUUUAAUUUUUAUAGUGAAAAAGCUUGGAUGGUUUAAAGGGACGAGAAGACCCUAUUGAGCUUUAUACGUUUAUAUAAAUAUAUAAACAUGUUUGGUUGGGGUGAUCAAGGAAUAAAAUAUAAAUAGUUUAACUUCCUUAGAUUUAUUAAUUUGUUAGGAUAAUAAACCAAUAUAUUGCUUUAAUGAUAAGUUACCAUAGGGAUAACAGCGUAAUUUUUUUAGAGAGUUCUUAUUGAAAAAAAAGAUUGCGACCUCGAUGUUGGAUUAAAAUAACCAUUAGGUGUAGAUGCUUUAUUUGGUGAAUCUGUUCGAUUUUUAAAAUUUUACA
rnacentral:rRNA from 1 species